UGCGCUGAAUAGUUUCUCUGUGCCGCGUUUAAGCUACGACUGAAAUAGGAGAUGGGUCUGAGUUUUCCUUCAUUGUCUUCCUGUUGUAAAAUUCCACCAAUACUAAUUUUGGACGUGUCACUUGUUAGAAUAAAGGUCUUAUCAAACCUGGGAAAAGCAAGAGUAGUCAGGAAGCGUUGCUUCUGUCUUAAUGUUAGUAUCACAGAUGUUACCCGUUGUUCUCACUGUAUCUCUUUUAUAAUGUGAAAUAUCCCACACCUGACACCAGAUGUUGUAACUGACCUUUGCUAGCUAGUUACACAUGUGAGCUGUUUACGUUACACUGCUUACCUGUUACCUCAGAUAUGGUUAAAUGGUUAGGCUGGCACUCUGGGGGGUUUGGUGACUACUGCAGACUCAAGCGCCCCCCCCCAUGCCUUUCUUUGAUAAUAUCGGCAUCUGUUAGUUUAAACUGUAGCCUCUUUUUAAUAUUUUCAAAGUAUCCCCCAACUUGUCUGGUUUUAAUGUAUAUUCUAAAGAAGGAAAACAUCUAAGCAUUCUGGCUGUGAAGUUCUUUCCACGUAGCGGCUGAAAUGCCUGGCUCUUACGUGACAGCCCUCCACAAGCUGUGUCAAGGCGGGUGUACAACUCGCGCAGUGUCUCACCUUGCCUCCUGCUUGCCAAAUUUAAAACUACAAUAACAAACAUUUUGAAUUGGUGAAAAACGUUACGAGUUUGAGAAAAAAACAUUGUCAGUUACCAAAAAAAAAAAAAAAAUUAUGAGUCAGAAAGAAUGUUAUGAGUUAGGAAGAAUGUUAUGAGUUAGGAAGGUUGUGAGUUAUGAGAGGAAACAUGCUGAGUUAAAAUAAAAUGUUAUGAGUUGCAGGGAAACAUUUUGUCAGCGAGAAAGAAAUGUUUGUAUAAAAUAAAAGAAUGAAAAAGAGAAUUAUUUCUUUUGUUAUUUAGUGAAAUGCUUUUAUUAUUUUUCUAUUAAUUUUUUGAAGUUAGUGAAGAAAGAUUGUUGUUCCUGUGAGUGUUGGAGAAAAGUAUUUUUGUAACAAUCUCUGGAAAGAAAUAAAAAUAUGUAUAAGGAAUGAAAUAUUGUGGUGCCUUUAUCAGUAUUAAGAAAAAUAAAAAAUAAAAAUUAGAAGCUUGAUUUAAUAACACAAAAUAAAAAAUAAAUAAAGAAAUCAAUAAACAAAUGAAAAAUGAACACAAUAAAAAAAAAAAAAAAAUAAAUAAAUAAAUGAAUUAAUAAAUAUAUACAUGCAAAUAUUCAUCAAUAUUUUCCUUAAACCAAAACAAUAUAUGUGAUACACUCAAAAGCUCUAUUUUGUAAAGCUCUAUUUAGAAAAGCUCUAUUUUGUAAAGGUCUAUUUUGAAAAGGUCUAUUUUGUAAAGGUCUAUUUUGAAAAGCUCUAUUUUGAAAAAGGUCUAUUUUAAAAAAGUCUAUUUUGAAAAGCUCUAUUUUGAAAAAGUCUAUUUUGAAAAGGUCUAUUUUGAAAAGGUCUAUUUUGAAAAGAUGUAUUUUGAAAAGGUCUAUUUUGAAAAAGUCUAUUUUGAAAAGCUCUAUUUUGUAAAGGUCUAUUUUGAAAAGGUGUAUUUUGAAAAGGUCUAUUUUGUAAAGGUGUAUUUUGAAAAGGUGUAUUUUGAAAAGGUCUAUUUUGAAAAGGUCUAUUUAGAAAAGGUCUAUUUAGAAAAGAUGUAUUUUGAAAAGCUCUAUUUUGAAAAGCUCUAUUUUGAAAAGCUCUAUUUUGAAAAGCUCUAUUUUGUAAAGGUCUAUUUUGAAAAGGUCUAUUUUGAAAAGCUCUAUUUUGAAAACCUCUAUUUUGAAAAGGUGUAUUUUGAAAAGGUCUAUUUUGAGAGGGCGUAUUUAAAGGUGUAUUUUGAAAAGGUGUAUUUUGAGAUGUCUAUUUGAGAUGACUUAAAAACUAUUGUACUUUAAAACAAACAACUAAGAGCAUAACAAAUAUUAGACAUGUUUUUGUAAAGCUGUAAUAUAACAAGGAAAAAAGUGUAUCUACAGAGAGUGUACUUGUGAUCAAUGCCAGAAUGGUGUAGUGUGUAUUUGUUAUCAAUAAAGUCAAUAAACCUC
rnacentral:lncRNA from 1 species